rnacentral:rRNA from 1 species
AGUGAACGCUGGCGGUAGGCCUAACACAUGCAAAUCGAACGGCAGCACAGUAAGAGCUUGCUCUUACGGGUGGCGAGUGGCGGACGGGUGAGGAAUACAUCGGAAUCUACUUUUUCGUGGGGGAUAACGUAGGGAAACUUACGCUAAUACCGCAUACGACCUACGGGUGAAAGCAGGGGAUCUUCGGACCUUGCGCGAUUGAAUGAGCCGAUGUCGGAUUAGCUAGUUGGCGGGGUAAAGGCCCACCAAGGCGACGAUCCGUAGCUGGUCUGAGAGGAUGAUCAGCCACACUGGAACUGAGACACGGUCCAGACUCCUACGGGAGGCAGCAGUGGGGAAUAUUGGACAAAGGGCGCAAGCCUGAUCCAGCCAUACCGCGUGGGUGAAGAAGGCCUUCGGGUUGUAAAGCCCUUUUGUUGGGAAAGAAAAGCAGCAGGUUAAUACCCCGCUGUUCUGACGGUACCCAAAGAAUAAGCACCGGCUAACUUCGUG